CUGGUCCAGGGCUGAGGGGGAGUUGACGGAGGUAGGGAGGGAGAGGGUUAAGUUACACCAGUGGAAGAGAAGGAAAGGCUGAGGUGUUGAUCUCACUGGGAAGUCGCCUGUGCCGAGCAGUGCCCCGGGUAUCCCACUCUCUCUCUGAACGUUUACAAGUCAUCCGUUCAGGACGGGGACUGGGAAACACCGCAGAGGACCGUGAGACCCCAGGAAUUCAGGGUCCCUGACUGUGUACCAAUCAGCAGCGCUAGAGAAGGCAACACGGAACUCGGGGGCGCCUCUGAACCAGCCCAAGAGGCAAAGGACUGCUGCUGGGGCAUCGUACUGCGGAUAAACUGAAUCGUUGCCUGGACCCGGACCCAAGUGGACAGCAUGCCCCCCGCAACACCACCCACCUUCGGGGACUCUCGGACAGAGUCACUAGGACUACGGAGUACACCCGUCAAGAUGUGGAAUCGCAGCGUUGCCUGAAAUUGUAAACGCCUGCGCUAGGUGUCAUUUACUGGGGGGAUCUGACCAGGGAUAGUUCACCAUGCUCAAUGGAUAUACAGUAAAACGGCUUUCAGCAUCUCCGAAAAAGGUGAAGUAAGACACAUUACUUUGUUGUUGCCCGUCUUACUGGUAGCCGAUAGGCUAUCCUACGUUUUAUCGCUAACAUCUGGACAUGCGUUAUGAAAUACAUACUACGCUGUCCACUAGGUAUAUAAUAGCCCUGCGAUGGUAAAUAUACAUAUAUAUUUUAAAACUUUAAAUAGGCAAUAUGCAGUUGAAACAAUAACAGAGUGGUACCCCGCCACUGAUUUGAUAAAGAGCUGAGGGAUGGAUGGGGCUGGACUAAUGUCACCACUCUCAAAUUACAUAGACAGAGCUAUGGAUGCAAGGACUGACCAUCAAUGAUAUAACAAUUGUAGUUUCAACUAUGUUUUGAGGCUAUACAUUGUUUGUUUACAAUUGCAUUGUUUACAAGCAAUAGAGUAAAGCAAGCUUGUGUUUUGGGUUUUGGUGUGGUAUGACAGUUAAACUAAGGUCAUGAGGCAUUCAUAAGUUCUAUUCUUUAAGUAUCAAUGGGCAUCUACCAUACAUUUUUAAGUCUAAAAAUUGAUGUAGCAGUCGCAGAUUGCUGCUUUAACUAAAAUAUA
rnacentral:lncRNA from 1 species